rnacentral:rRNA from 1 species
UACGUAGGGGGCUAGCGUUGUCCGGAAUCAUUGGGCGUAAAGAGCGUGUAGGCGGCCCGGUAAGUCCGCUGUGAAAGUCGGGGGCUCAACCCUCGAAUGCCGGUGGAUACUGUUGGGCUAGAGUGCGGAAGAGGCGAGUGGAAUUCCUGGUGUAGCGGUGAAAUGCGCAGAUAUCAGGAGGAACACCAAUUGCGAAGGCAGCUCGCUGGGACGUAACUGACGCUGAGACGCGAAAGCGUGGGGAGCAAACAGG